CCGAUACUUGUUAAAAAAAUGAUGGAAUGACGAAAAAAGAUAGUUUUACCACUUACUGGAUUGUGGGGUAAGCAGUUAGAAAGUUAUGCAGGCAAAUCCGUAUAACAUUAAUUUUGAGCUGUGACGCAUAGGGAAGAGGAGACUCAAGUACCGAAUUAAAUGAUUCUAUGUUUCCAAGAAAAGUUUCUAGUGUUAAUUUUUUAACAACCUGUACCGAGAACGGACACACGUCCCCAAGAUGAGUAUUCUAAGGCGAGCGAGAAAACCAAUGUUAAGGAACUCUGCAAAAUUAUCCCGUACGUUCGCAAGAAGGGAUGCCCUUUUUUAAAGGGCCACAGUAAAACGAGGGUGGCAACUGUUUAUCAAAAACACAGCUCUCUGCAAAGGUGCAAACCGAAGUAUAGAGGGUGAAGCCUGCCCAGUGCCCGAAGGUUAAGCGGAGAUGUUAG
rnacentral:rRNA from 1 species